GUCUACAGCCAUACCACCCUGAACGCGCCCAAUCUCGUCUGAUCUCGGAAGCUAAGCAGGGUCGGGCCUGGUUAGUACUUGUGAUGAAGUUCUCGAACCUAGGUGAGGUU
rnacentral:rRNA from 1 species